rnacentral:rRNA from 1 species
AAAGGAAUAGACGGGGACCCGCACAAGCAGCGGAGCAUGUGGUUUAAUUCGACGCUACGCGAAGAACCUUACCUAGGCUUGACAUAGGAUGCAUAGCCGUGAAAGCGGUGAAGUUAUAGCAAUAUAACAUCCAUACAGAUGGUGCAUGGUUGUCGUCAGCUCGUGUCGUGAGAUGUUGGGUUAAGUCCCGCAACGAGCGCAACCCCUGUCGUUAGUUACUAACAUUCAGUUGAGAACUCUAACGAGACUGCCGUAGAUAAUACGGAGGAAGGUGGGGAUGAUGUCAAAUCAUCAUGCCUCUUACGCCUAGGGCUACACACGUGCUACAAUGCCCAUUACAAAGAGACGCAAUAUCGUAAGGUGGAGCAAAUCUCAAAAAGAUGGGCCCAGUUCAGACUGAGGGCUGCAACCCGCCCUCACGAAGACGGAGUUGCUAGUAAUCCCGAAUCAGAAUGUCGGGGUGAAUGCGUUCCCGGGUCUUGUACACACCGCCCGU